rnacentral:rRNA from 1 species
UACGAAGGGGGCUAGCGUUGCUCGGAAUGACUGGGCGUAAAGGGCGCGUAGGCGGUGCAUUUAGUCAGGCGUGAAAUUCCUGGGCUCAACCUGGGGACUGCGCUUGAUACGGGUGUGCUUGAGGAUGGAAGAGGCUCGCGGAAUUCCCAGUGUAGAGGUGAAAAUUCGUAGAUAUUGGGAAGAACACCGGUGGCGAAGGCGGCGAGCUGGUCCAUUACUGACGCUGAGGCGCGACAGCGGUGGGGAGCAAACAGG